GUCAUGUGUCAGAUUUUCUGCAAAGUAUGUGUUUAAUUGUUUCUGGACAUCCGCUACAACCAGCGGGUCUUUGAGCAGGGAGGCGUUAAGCCUCCAUGUCCAAGGGGUAAGGCUGAGUAGGCCGUCUAGAUAGAUAGCAAUGUCUGCAUGGUCGGAUCAGGCAAUGGAUCCUAUUUCCGUUUUUCGAGUUUUCGUGAAGCCUGUUUGGUUAGUCAGAAACAUGUCAAUGCGCGAGUAGGUAUCGUGGGG